AGAAUCAACGCUGGCGGCGUGCCUCAGACAUGCAAGUCGAACGCGAAAGUUCCUUUCGGGGAAUGAGUAGAGUGGCGUCCGGGUGAGUAACACGUGAGUAAUUUGCCUUCGGGUGGGGAAUAACAGCCGGAAACGGCUGCUAAUACCGCAUGAUGCAGCGGCACCUCAUGGUGACAGUUGUUAAAGCGGGGGAUUCGCAAGAACCUCGCGCCUGAAGAGAAGCUCGCGGCAGAUUAGCUAGUUGGUAGGGUAACGGCCUACCAAGGCUACGAUCUGUA
rnacentral:rRNA from 1 species